GACGAACGCUGGCGGCGUGCCUAAUACAUGCAAGUAGGACGCAGUUGCGAACGGGUGAGUAACGCGUAGGUAACUACCUAUUAGAGGGGGAUAACUAUUGGAAACGAUAGCUAAUACCGCAUACUAGUAGAUGGACCUGCGUUGUAUUAGCUAGUAGGUAGGGUAAUGGCCUACCUAGGCAACGAUACAUAGCCGACCUUGGAGGGUUGUCGGCCCCACUGGGGCUUGGGAACGGCCCCGACCUCUCCGGGGGGCAGCAAUAGGGGAUCUUCGGCAAAGGGGGGAAACCUUACCGAGCAACGCCGCGGGAGUGAAGAAGGUUUUCGGAGCUUAAAGCUCUUUUGUUAAGGGAGCGGUACUUAACCAGAAAGGAACGGCUAACUACGUGCCAGCAGCCGCGGUAAUAC
rnacentral:rRNA from 1 species